AUGAAGUACAAUGCAUGGGGCGUUCGUGACAUUGAUGGCUAUAGCUGCUUCGUGUUCGAGAUAGAUCCUAGCUCCGUUGGGCCAGGCGUAUUCAACUGGAGGCGGGUUGACAGCCUCGGCAACCACUCCUUGUUCCUCGGGCUCAAUUAUCAGAUCAUCCAACCAAUCAUCGAUCAUAUCACCGGCGAUGAUUACCGUGCUAUGCAACUUCCAUUUGCGAGGGGGUACUGUGUUUACACAUCAUACCAUGGGUUUCAUGAAUCACCAUAUCAAGAGAUUCGUCGACACAGCUUGUUGCCAGAUAAUCUUUAUUUCCUGGUUAUCAAGGAGUUGUCCCAGGAAAUAAAGAAAGGAGAAUUCAAGGAAGGAAACGAAAUUGAGAAACAGAAAAUAAUCGAGGGAAAAAUCAUGCCACCUUUGAAAAAUUCCCUGGUUAUCAAGGAGUUGUCCCAGGAAAUAAAGAAAGGAGAAUUCAAGGAAGUACCAUAUAACUGGAAUUACCGAUGCAAGUCGAAGAAGGAUUGGCCGGUGCUGCCGGCUGGCGUCAAGUUUGAUCCCAUGGAUCAGGAGCUGAUCGAGCACCUUGAGGCCAAAGUGAGUGCUGACAGCGCGAGAUUUCAGUCUCUCAUCGAUUUGUUCAUACCAACCAUCAACAGCGAGCACGGCAUAUGCUACACCCAACCUGAGAAACUUCCAAGUAUCACACUGAGUGGCCUAAGGAAGCAUUUCUUCCAGAGCAAUUCCAGGGUGUUCAAAAGGGGAACGUGGACGCGUCGCAGGAUACAACGGGCAGCAAAAAAGGUUCUAGUGCUGCACACCAACAAGAACUUCGACCAGCAGAGGACCAACUGGGUGAUGCACCAGUACCACCUCGGGGACCUGGAGCAAGAGAAGGAGCGGGAGCUGGACCUCUGCAAGAUUUUCUACCAGACGAACACUAGGGCCAAGAGUAAAAAGAUUGUCAAGCAUGUUUCAACUGGGUUGUAG
rnacentral:rRNA from 1 species